GCUCAUAUCAAUGCCUUCUUUUCCUGAAUUUAUGCAGCAUUUCUGGUCAUAUAUUAUGUUAAUAUUAAGUAAUCCUUUACAUUGGUUUCUAGUUGUUUCAUUAAAAGAAAAUAUUCUGAAUAUUGUGAAAUAUGGGUAACUCCUCAGGUAUCUGAGCAGUGAAAGUGAAAAGAUGAUUAGUUCAAAUAACUGAUGAAUUUUAACAUGUCCUUACAGCCAAUCCAGACCUUUUAGAACAAGCCAUCUGGGCAAACCAAAGGAGCUUGAGAGUAAAGGAGAAACAGAUUGGAAAGCAGUCCCAUGUGGACCCAAAUCUCUGCAGAUGGCUCCCCUGGGGUAAUUUUGUUUCUCAGAGAUCUUCCGCUGCCAUAUCCUCCUUUUCCUUCCCCAUUUCCAACAAUCAUGAAUGUUCAUCAAAGACUCUGAGGAGCAGUCUCUCUUGGUGUUCUAUCAGACAACCAGAUGACGGUUCAGAACUACAAUCUACAUGAAGGGAGAAAAAUACUUUUUUCCUCCCAAUUCUCAUCUUAAGUUCCAUGGAGUAAAGUGUUCAAACAAUAUUUUGUGAAUAGUUUUAUCAUUGGGAAUAAUUUCAUCAACCCUGCCAGAGGGCUAGGGCAGGGUGGCCCAUAAGCUGGAUCCCUGGAUUUUUGACAUCAGCUACCUUAGGGUCACUGGUCAUCUGAGACUCUUGGUCUUUUAACUUUUUUAAAAAAGAAAGGAAAGAGUGUGCUCAGAUGUGAGAGGGUUAGCAUAAAAAAAGACAGGUUAUCUUUAAAAGUGUUUUACGUUUUUCAUAGGAAAAGAUGUCAUAAACAGAAAACUCUGUUUUUGUAAUACUUACUGUUAACCUUUGCUUAUGGCCUAACUUUUAUUAGGAAAUUCUGUCACUUAUAGAGAGCUUGUAUGUAAUUUAUAUAAACAAGCUUAACUCUAUGUCCCCAUGAUGCCAGACUAGCCUAUUCAGUGAAAUUUAAAAUUGAGCAAAGCACUAAGUAUAAGAAGGAAUUUAAUAAAUUGCAACAUGAUUUUCUUUGCUUAUUAGAA
rnacentral:lncRNA from 1 species